AGGGACCAAUUCCAGAGCUGGGGAGGCCUAAUCGUGGGUGUGGGGUUAUCUUCUCGCCCUCAACCCUAAACCUGGUCGCAAUCUGUGCCUAUUCUUGAAGGAGAGUUUUUCCAGUGGCUUACUCCUCAAACCAAAGCCCUGAUGCCAGGGUCUCACUGCUUCGGUCUAACGAUGAGCCUGUGGGGUGAGAGUGUCUCGGCACUUCUCACGAGUCCCGGGCAAUCGGGUCGCCUCCUUUUAC
rnacentral:telomerase_RNA from 1 species